rnacentral:tRNA from 1 species
GGCACUAUAGCCAAGUGGUUAAGGCGACAGAUUAGAAUUUGCUUGAAGAUAGCACCUCCAUCUGUUACUCUCUGAGUGCGCAGGUUCAAAUCCUGCUGGUGUCG